AGAAAGGUAAGCUAAUUAAGCUACUAGGUUCAUACCCUACUUAUGGAAGUCCAACCUUCCCCUCUCUA
rnacentral:tRNA from 1 species